rnacentral:rRNA from 1 species
UACGAAGGGAGCUAGCGUUGUUCGGAAUCACUGGGCGUAAAGCGCACAUAGGCGGAUGUGUCAGUCAGGGGUGAAAUCCCGGAGCUCAACUUCGGAACUGCCCUUGAUACAGCACGUCUUGAGUCCGGAAGAGGUGGGUGGAAUUCCUAGUGUAGAGGUGAAAUUCGUAGAUAUUAGGAAGAACACCGGUGGCGAAGGCGGCCCACUGGUCCGGUACUGACGCUGAGGUGCGAAAGCGUGGGGAGCAAACAGG